UACGUAGGGGGCAAGCGUUGUCCGGAUUUAUUGGGCGUAAAGAGCGUGUAGGCGGCCACACAGGUCAGCUGUGAAAACUCGAGGCUCAACCUCGAGACGUCGGUUGAAACCGUAUGGCUAGAGUCCGGAAGAGGAGAGUGGAAUUCCCGGUGUAGCGGUGAAAUGCGCAGAUAUCGGGAAGAACACCCGUGGCGAAGGCGGCUCUCUGGGACGGUACUGACGCUGAGACGCGAAAGCGUGGGGAGCGAACAGGA
rnacentral:rRNA from 1 species